GGUAGAUAACUCCCUAAUACCGUGGGAAUUAAGGAGUUAUCUACUAAGCCGCUGCAAGAGAAGUCCCGAAGUCCCGAAAUUCCGAAGUUCUUAAAUUCCGAAGUUCCGAAGUGUCGAAGUGCCGAAGUGCCGAAGUGCCGAACCAAAGUGCUGAAGUCCAGAAUUUCAGAAUUCUGAACCGAACCGAAAAUUUUCCCCAUGCACAUGCCUAUUGUGGCAGAACCAGCCUCGCCACAGGGCACUGGAGAAGACUGAUUGCCAGCCUCCUGCCAUGUGACUAUGGCCCAUGGGAUGUAUUGCCUGCUCUCCU